rnacentral:lncRNA from 1 species
CGCUUUGCAAGAAGAAGAGAUCGAAGAGAAAGCCCCAAAUUCGUCCUCAACCCUAACGUCAAUCCUAAAUUUCCAUAGCUGAGAGCUCAGAUCUACGAUUUUGAAGAAGUGAGCCGCCUAAAAGGUGUAUUCGAGUGUAUUGGCUCCUUAACCCGGAAAAGGAAGGACAAAUGGAGCAUAAGGUGAUGGUGUGUUGGUGUGGUAAGAAUGCGAGAAUCCGAACCUCGUGGACAAUUUCGAAUCCUGGGAGGCGAUUCGCUGUGUGUGCAAAGGUAAAAAACUAAAUUUGGUGCAAAUAAUUAGAUUUUGAAUUGUAGCAGGUGCAAAUAUUAAUUUACAGAGUGGGUUUUGUGCAAGGUAGAGGAGGUUGUGAUUUCUAGGUUUGGUAUGAUGUGGAAAUGUGUGAAAGGUCUAAAGUUGUGAUUCCGGGGUUGCUAAAAUCGCUGGAUAAGUUGGAGAAUUCACUAGCAAAGGCUAGACGCAAAGGGAAGGUUCUUUGGGCAGCAUUGGUGGUGUCGUUGAUGCUUAUUGCAAUGUUCUUUUUGGAAGGAAUGGUGGAUCACAUGGACUGAAGCUGAAGACUUUGGAAUUGGCAUGAAAAGGGGUGUUUUAGGG